CAGGCCUAACACAUGCAAGUCGAGCGGUAACAGGCCCUUCGGGGUGCUGACGAGCGGCGGACGGGUGAGUACUGCAUAGGAAUCUACCCGGUAGUGGGGGAUAACCUGGGGAAACUCAGGCUAAUACCGCAUACGUCCUACGGGAGAAAGCAGGGGCCUUCGGGCCUUGCGCUAUCGGAUGAGCCUAUGCCGGAUUAGCUGGUUGGUGAGGUAAUGGCUCACCAAGGCAACGAUCCGUAGCUGGUCUGAGAGGAUGAUCAGCCACAUCGGGACUGAGACACGGCCCGAACUCCUACGGGAGGCAGCAGUGGGGAAUAUUGGACAAUGGGGGCAACCCUGAUCCAGCCAUGCCGCGUGUGUGAAGAAGGCCUUCGGGUUGUAAAGCACUUUCAGCGAGGAAGAACGCCUGGCGGUUAAUACCCGCCAGGAAAGACAUCACUCGCAGAAGAAGCACCGGCUAACUCCGUGCCAGCAGCCGCGGUAAUACGGAGGGUGCGAGCGUUAAUCGGAAUUACUGGGCGUAAAGCGCGCGUAGGCGGCUUGCUAAGCCGGUUGUGAAAGCCCUGGGCUCAACCUGGGAUCUGCAUCCGGAACUGACAGGCUAGAGUGCAGGAGAGGAAGGUAGAAUUCCCGGUGUAGCGGUGAAAUGCGUAGAGAUCGGGAGGAAUACCAGUGGCGAAGGGGGCCUUCUGGACUGACACUGACGCUGAGGUGCGAAAGCGUGGGUAGCAAACAGGAUUAGAUACCCUGGUAGUCCACGCCGUAAACGAUGUCGACCAGCCGUUGGGUGCCUUGAGCACUUUGUGGCGAAGUUAACGCGAUAAGUCGACCGCCUGGGGAGUACGGCCGCAAGGUUAAAAC
rnacentral:rRNA from 1 species